rnacentral:snRNA from 1 species
AGCCGUGCAGUGAAAACAAAGCGAACUAUUCUUUCGCCUUUUACUAAAGAAUACCGUGUUUUCUCUGCUCUUUAGUGGCAUACGCCUAUUUUUGGAAAGGGUUUAUAAAAAACCCUC